rnacentral:lncRNA from 10 species
ACUGGAAUCAGCAACUCCCUGGAACUCGGGCCUCUGGCCCCGUCCCUCUUUUCUCCGGCAGGGACGCAGGAUGCCUUGGUGCACUCUAGAGACGGGGACCGGAGGGUGCAGCGCGCCUGGGUGGGGCGAAGGGCGCCGGUCUCCUCACGCCCUCUGACUUUAGGAUACCAGACAGUGUCUCUUCAACCCCACCCCAGGCGCAGGUUUCCAGAAGGCGGGGUGGGUGGGGCCCCCGAUUUCCAGAAGGCGAGUUACCUAGCAGGAGAAAAAUCAAGACGUUCCCUUCAGUCCUCCCUCGGUGUUAACGUCUGCUCCAGCUCGCAGCCCGCUGCUGGGCAUUUUAUUAAUGCUUUUACGAGUUAGAAGAGUUGGGAUAAUUUGCCAUCUGGAGUUUCUCUGCCUUGCUGAUCUGAGCUCAGACCUGCCAAUUUACCAGAGAUAAUUGAUAACACCCUGUAACAGCUGAGAGGAAAAUGGAAGAAACGGAGAUACUUUUAGUGAAGCAGAAUAAACCACUGAACAGCGUUGGCUGAAAAACAUAAGGUCUGUUUCAUCUUCAUAAAAACGCUGCUUUCAGUGCACUGGAUUUAUUUUACAACCCACUAAUGGAUUACCCUACAGUUUGAAAAACAUUGCGUUAGACCAGUUUGACUGUUGUCAAGAACCAAAAAAGAUGGAGUUUCACUCUUCC